UACGUAGGGACCAAGCGUUGCUCGGAUUUACUGGGCGUAAAGGGCGCGUAGGCGGCUUAUCAAGUCACUUGUGAAAUCUCCGGGCUUAACUCGGAACGGCCAAGUGAAACUGUCAAGCUAGAGUGCAGAAGGGGCAAUCGGAAUUCUUGGUGUAGCGGUGAAAUGCGUAGAUAUCAAGAGGAACACCUGAGGUGAAGGCGGGUUGCUGGGCUGACACUGACGCUGAGGCGCGAAAGCCAGGGGAGCAAACGGG
rnacentral:rRNA from 1 species